rnacentral:rRNA from 1 species
CCUACGGGCGGCAGCAGUGGGGAAUAUUGCACAAUGGGGGAAACCCUGAUGCAGCGACGCCGCGUGAGUGAAGAAGUAAUUCGUUAUGUAAAGCUCUAUCAGCAGGGAAGAAAAUGACGGUACCUGAGUAAGAAGCCCCGGCUAACUACGUGCCAGCAGCCGCGGUAAUACGUAGGGGGCAAGCGUUAUCCGGAUUUACUGGGUGUAAAGGGAGCGUAGACGGCAGUGCAAGUCUGGAGUGAAAGGGGGGGGCUCAAACCCCGGACUGCUCUGGAAACUGUACGGCUGGAGUGCAGGAGUGGUAAGUGGAAUUCCUAGUGUAGCGGUGAAAUGCGUAGAUAUUAGGAGGAACACCAGUGGCGAAGGCGGCUUACUGGACUGUAACUGACGUUGAGGCUCGAAAGCGUGGGGAGCAAACAGGAUUAGAUACCCCUGUAGUC